rnacentral:rRNA from 1 species
UACGUAGGGCGCAAGCGUUAUCCGGAUUUAUUGGGCGUAAAGAGCUCGUAGGUGGUUCGGUAAGUCGGAUGUGAAAUCUCCAGGCUCAACCUGGAGGGGUCAUUCGAUACUGCCGUGACUAGAGGUCGGUAGGGGAGUGUGGAAUUCCUGGUGGAGCGGUGAAAUGCGCAGAUAUCAGGAGGAACACCCGUAGCGAAGGCGGCACUCUGGGCCGAUACUGACACUGAGGAGCGAAAGCGUGGGGAGCGAACAGG